GCGGCGACGCGGCCACGCGGCUGCGUCGCUCCGUCGUCUGCCGGGUUUCUUCCCUAUGCUCCCACUUCAUCCCGUUCUCGAAGCAAGGUUCGCGAGGACGCGAAUGGUUACGUUGCACCGGGCAAGAAAACGACCGCCGAGGACCUCCUCCACAUUCCUCGUUUCCGUGCGGACACCUUCGAGGCGUUCGCCAGCGGUGACCGUAGUCUGCUGUACCGACGCUUCUGCUUCCCGUCGCCGACGGGACCGAGCGAGGGACCCGCGAAAAAGUCCUGGUCCUAGUCUCAGCAGCUGGACUGCUGCAUCCUGCAAGGCAGAAAGGAUCCUGAGGGACUGCACUGUCGAGAUGAAUCUCCCUGGUCGUGGAGGAGCCAGUACCGUUGGAUACUUUCGACUCUGCCGUCCCCUACUGCAGCAGCGAGGUGCCAUACAACUGCAUAUUUCCUGCUCCCAGCAGCACGCCAGACUCUGAGGCGACAUACUCUCCAUCCAACCCUGCCAAAGGUUUCGAGAGACAUCCUGAAGAGGCUACACCUUGGCAAAGCAGCUCUCCUGUUGGUCUUUAAUAAAUGGGGCUUUCAUCGAGGAGGUAGACUGGAACUGUAUAAACCAAACCCAGGCAACUGUGCAUGACAGCACAAACAUUUAGCACAAGUUCGAUGCCAUUCAGACUUACAGAGCUAAACAUAUUUUCCAGUCUACACUACGGUUUCCCCUCCCAUCUGCAACAUUGUCUCCUCUCGAUAAUUCAGUGGUUCAUGCCUUGCUAACCUUUGAGGAAACAAAUGAAAAUAGUU